AAAAUUAGUAAUAGUUAUGUUCUUGAAAAUUAAAAAAUUUGGCGGUAUUUUAAAUUUUUAGAGGAACCUGUUCUGUAAUUGAUAAUCCACGAUUAAAUGUACUUAUUUUAAGUUUAUAUAUCGUUGUAGAUAAAUAUUUUGUAAGAAAAGUAAUAUUUGUAAUAUUAAUGAUUUAUAAGGAUUCAAAUCAAGAUGUAGCUAUAAAUAAGAAGAAAUGGGUUACAAUUAUUUUAAUAUUGGUUUAGUUAUUUUGAAUGACUAUAAAAGUGGAUUUAAUAGUAAUUUAAUAUAUAAUUUUUAAAUGAAUAAAAUUAUGAAAUAUGUACAUAUUGCCCG
rnacentral:rRNA from 1 species